rnacentral:rRNA from 1 species
UACGUAGGGUGCGAGCGUUGUCCGGAAUUAUUGGGCGUAAAGAGCUUGUAGGCGGUUUGUCGCGUCUGCCGUGAAAAUCCGGGGCUCAACCCCGGACUUGCGGUGGGUACGGGCAGACUAGAGUGUGGUAGGGGAGACUGGAAUUCCUGGUGUAGCGGUGAAAUGCGCAGAUAUCAGGAGGAACACCGAUGGCGAAGGCAGGUCUCUGGGCCAUAACUGACGCUGAGGCACGAAAGCGUGGGGAGCAAACAGG